CCAUGGUCCCUUUGGAAGUGAUGUGUCAGAUUUAAGCGAGUUCAAACAAAUGUUCUGUCUUGAAUCAAUACCAGCUGGCUGUGAAACACCUGAUUGUGGGUGAAACUUGUGGUUCCUAUGCACAACAAACAGCUUUGUGGAUUAUAGUCUGUUUACUAAAGCCAAUUUGGUGGGGCAAGUAAAUGAAGAAGAAAGAAGGGCAAAACCAUUUACCAAGAAGGAGCUGCCAAAUUCACUAAGGAAUGAGUGAAGUGAUGCAAGCACAGCUCCUGCCAUCAAGACAGAACCCGGUCUAAUUGUAAGAAAAACAUCAGACAAAUUCCCAAGAAGGGGCAUGCUAUAGUAAACCUGACCAGUAUUCCUCAACACUGUCAAGGCCAUCAAAAACCAAAAGUCUGAGAACCUGCCACAGUCAAGAGGAGGCUAAGGAUACCUGAUAACGAAAGGUAAUGUAGUA